rnacentral:rRNA from 1 species
UACGGAGGGAGCUAGCGUUGUUCGGAAUUACUGGGCGUAAAGCGCACGUAGGCGGCUUUUUAAGUCAGGGGUGAAAUCCCGGGGCUCAACCCCGGAACUGCCUCUGAAACUGGAUGGCUAGAAUCUUGGAGAGGCGAGUGGAAUUCCGAGUGUAGAGGUGAAAUUCGUAGAUAUUCGGAAGAACACCAGUGGCGAAGGCGACUCGCUGGACAAGUAUUGACGCUGAGGUGCGAAAGCGUGGGGAGCAAACAGG